GUGACUUCCCUUAGGUGAGUUUACGUGCAUUUUCUACUGGGGUGGGGAGUCACAAAGCCCUCUCUGCAAAUGAGAGCUAAGUUCACGACAUGUUUCAUGAGCUCCUCAACCUCCUUGGCCCUGAUCAACAACUAGUUUUCCUGAAGGGCCAGUUUAAAAGCAAAGUUAGCAGUGCAAAGCCAGCAUAAGCAGCAGUUGCCAUGCUACCAAUUCAGACACCAGUUUUAGAAGCCUGUGGCCUGGAUAAAAUAAGGGGGAAAGUCUGAAUCUAGUUUCCAUGGCAUUUUUUUAGAUAAGGUUUAUAUUCCAUCACUUAGCCAGAAGCCAAAUAAUUGCUAGUUUCUCCAUAACACAGGUCCUGGCUUUUUCAACUCAAGUAUUGUAGGAGUUCGUUUCAUAGUGCAGCAGAAUAUAUACAGCACAAGGCAGGGAGCAGGAUUUCAGCUCUCCUGAUACAAACUAAUAGGCUUUAUGCAGUAUUCACUUCCUAUCUAGUGUUUAGUUUUACUAAUAAUGCUGAUCUAACCAUCAGCUCCUAACUCUUCUUAUGAUGCAAAAGCCACUAGGGUUUAUUUUAUGCUAAAUGAUUAACAACAGGAUUCAUGGAUAGAUACACUGUGCCAAAUACCUCAAGGAUCGUAUCUGAAAUCACUCAAGGUCCUACUUAGUCCCAUGUGAUUCUUAGCAUUUAUUUAAUAGCAUUUUUAUCCUGCUCCUUAGCUUAAAGGGGGCUUCCAGGGCAACUUACAAAAAUCAGUACUUAGACAGUCCAUGCCCCCAGGCUUGCAACUGGAAGAGAUGUAACACACAAGGAACAGGGGGUGGGGUGGAAGAGGAAAGUAGGCAAACUCAAGCACCAGUUCUUAAAGUUACAGUUCUUUUAUAGCUACCAGCUAGGAUGGGAAAGAGUUCCAGCAGCCUGAUUGAGUGAUGGCUAAAGGAUGCCCAGAGGCAGCUGGUCUCCCAGGAGAGGUGAUGGGAUAGUCUUGUUUUGCUUCACUCCCUCUGCCCUGCAGCCUAAUGGAGCUGCUGUCACUUGGAGACGCUUGAGUGAGACUUCCCAUAUUUUCAGUAUUUCCACUGCAAUCUUGAGGUCUAGAAAUUGUGCUUUCUAAAAGUAAGAAUGAACAUUCUUAGGACUCUAGAUUAUGUGCCACGUCCUGCACUUGCUGAGUCAUUGUACAGAAUGUAUAUAAUUUUAGUCCCCCUGCCCAAUUUUUGCCAGAAUGAGCCUCCUAAAGUCAAAGCUCAUUUGUUUUCCUUGUGUAACUAUUAUGGAAUCUUGCAACAAAAUGUUGCAGUGUGGAGUGCUCAUUCCCUCUCCCUUAGUUUUCAAUUCUUCUCUCCCACAACGGUCAGCAUUUGGUGCCCACUGAGCAUCCUCAUUCCUCAGUGGACAUUUUCCCUCUCUUAAAAUAUUUUUUUGUACUUCAAACAUUGGGGUUCCCUCCAUCGUAUGGGUGGAUCCCUCUAUCUGUUGCUUGAAUUGUGGCAUUUUGGCUACAUAAGAAUCCACACUAGGAGAAUGGGUUUAUUAUCUGCAUCUAGGAUGUCAUUAAUGUAUAGUCAGCCUGCAGUGAAGGUACAAGUGGCACAAGCAGCAGGUAUGCUCUGACAUGCUUGGCAAACAAGACAAAAUGCCUUUGGGCCUAGCUGUGGCUGAAUCAGGCUUGCAGGUUGUCCUGCCUCAUCAGUACUGCCUGCUCCUUGGCUCAGCAGCUGAGAGCCAAAAGCAAACAUAAGGAACCAGUGACUGCAGGAAGACUGGAGAGAGACAGACAGAGACAGAGAAUGGACUAGAAUGGUGCUUCCUCUCUCAAACUUUGCAUUUGAGUUUGUUGCACAAUUGCCAAAAAGAUUGGCCAGCACCGUAGUAAUUAAUUACAAGUAGUGACGAAAUUAAGUGCAGAACUUAAUGGAAGAUUUUGCAGCUCUUUUCUUUGAGCCAAAAGAACUAAAUGACAAAUUGCUUGGCAUAAGGUAGGACUGUGUAAUAUACAAAAGCGACAUUCCUGGCUUUCUGUUUCUUCAUUGCAGACACUGUUCUUCUCACCCAACCCAAGUUUACACACACACAUGUAUACACACACACACACACACACACACACCUUCUUCUAGCAGCUGCCUCAUAUUGUGUUGUUUCAGCUGGGUUUUCAUGGCGAACAAAACAACAGGGAGUAAGUGGUGGUGUUCUCAAAUGUUGUACUGCACAACAAAUUUAACAGGGGUUUUUCUGGGGUUAGUGUUAAUUGUCUCUGCCAUUAUUGCAAACAGACUUUGAUCUAGUCUCCUGACCUUUUCGAGGUCUCUCUGUCUCUUCUUUCAAGCAGAAUGUAUUUUACUGGUGUGGCCAAGGGAGUCUUCUAGGAGCUUGCCCAUUUGCUGCUAAAAUCUCUCCCCUCCCCAAUCUGAACAGGGGACGGAAAAAGUAGCAAGGAGAAGUGGUUUGGUAUAGACAAGCAUUUAUUCUCCAGUUGUAUCUUCCUCAGUGACCUUAUGCACAAGCAGGGGAAGGUGGGGGAGCCUUAUGAGCAGUACAGAGCACUGUAUGAUCUUAUCACAAGGAUGGGUGGGUUUUCAUCCAAGGCAAACAGGGUGCUCUGUUGGGGAAAGGCUCUUGUGCUUUUGAAUUGAAGUUGUGCUGCUGUCACACUGUGCUGAUCUGAGCAAAAAAUGCAGCUUGAAUGAUGAGACUGGAGUUGCCCAUGGUGCUGAAACUGCCUUAAUUGUCACAAUUUCAAGGAAGGGGAGCCCCUAGCCAUGAACUGGCGGAUCUUGCCACAGACCAAGCCUGUUGUGGCCUUCUAAACCCAGACCACAUUUAAUAUCUCCUGCCUUCAGCACAAGAAGCCCAGGGAGAGAAGGUGGAGGUCACACUUAACCACUUCUUUGCUGAGCUUGUUUCUGGUCCCAUCAGUCACAGUGCUUGCUGUUUGGAAUGCCUUUAGGUGAUCAGCUCGGUAAAUAGUAUGGCAGGCGUCUUUCAUCCUAAGACACCUAGAUGACAUGAAGAAAACCACCCUUCUGCCCCUGCCUACUUACAUACCACUACAGAUGGUUAGUCCUCAACCAAGGGAGACUUUUGUUUGUUGGGUAUAAGACUGGGCUAAGUGUUCUACUCACUUCAGAGUCAAAUGGGUCUAGCUAGCCAAAUGACUUCAGAAGAUCACAGCCAUGUUUACCUAUUAGCAGGGUCCAGGGCCAAGGCAGUCACCUCUGUUAGAAUCUAAAUUUCUCUUUGAGAGAUAGGAAAGAAGCCAGGAAAAGGACUAUUUUGUUUCCAAAUCAGGCCAGAACCGACCAAAUUUGCAUUACCAAACAGAAAGGUUACUGGCUUUGCCAUCAAAGGAGGAGUCUCCAGGAUCUUGGGUUUUAGACCAGAAGCCUCUUCUAACCCCCAAAACCGAUUUGGAAGAAAAUGGCUUCUUUUCCUCUCCCUCCCUCCAAUGAGGGAUGAGAGGCAAUGGGAGAGAAGCAGUAAGAGUGAUAGCUUGGCUACUCUCAAUCCACCAGCUUCUGCCUAACAUGAGGAGGUAGCUGAGCAGUAAGUGGCAUUCAAUCCCAGCUUCCUGCUCCCAUUGCCUUUGCUGGGGCAAGCACCCUCCUCCACCCUCUGGCAAGGGAUUUGCCCACCCCUCCUCAUCUUAAAGGGAAUAGCAUCUCCCCCUUGCUCACAGUGGUGAGCACCCAGUUUCCUGCAUCUGCAGAGCAUCUGCAGAGCUAAGCAGCCCCACUUCAUUUCCUCUCUGCAGUUGGGCAGUGGAUAUGGAAAGGCUCCCCCUCACACUUGGAUGUUCAUCCCUACCUUUAGCAUCUUGCAGGUCCCUUCCUUACAGGCUCCCUGUUUCACACCUCCCAUUUCUCUCUUGAUGUGGUUUGGACAUUCUCCCGUCCUAUUGCACAGGGUUAUAAAUAGACAUUCCACCACAACAGAGAUCAUGGAUUUAAAUCUACCUGGCCAUCUUCAGCACUUGGCAAAAAGUCAUUGGGAACCCCCAAUCCAGGAAACUCAGACUAGUUACUACUGAUCCAAGGAUUUCAGAUGCAUCCAGGUUUGGGUCCUCACCACAUUUGCUCUGGACAUUCAGAUGAAAAAAAAUUACCAUGUGCACAAGGCUCUGGGUCCCAUUGUGAUCCCUAGCAGGCAUUCCAAAAGAACCUUCCUACCCAACCUUUUUGCAGAUGGCACCAAGCACAACCCAGCCAUUCAGCCUUUAUCAAUAUCAGGAGUGUGCUAUCACAUUAUGUAAAGCUUGAGAAAGAUACCAUUGUCAGCCGCAUGGCAGCUGUAAGUUAUGGGAAUUGUAUCCAGGGAUCAUGGCUUGGUGCAACUCCCACCCCCGCCCCCCGCCUUCCUUUUAAUGGCCAGCUUGCAGGGCAACUCGACCAUUCAAAUAUGUAUGUAUACAUUUUCUCAAGGAUAGAUCCAUGUUAACCGUACUGCAAGAGAUUCCAGCCAAUUGGCCUGUGCAGAUCUAAGGUGCUUGUUUCUCUUUGUAUAACUAUAUACAUAUGUACAUACAUAUCCUGUUUAAUGUAAUUGAAACCUUGGAGCUGUCCGUUUGCUCUGGAACCCAGCAGGUGGUGUGAUGGGCUUGGAUGAUGGGAGAAGGUGAAUGCUGGCUGGUUUAAGGCAAGCAAUUCUACUGAAAAUUUCAAUUGCAUGGGAAUAGUCCUGUAUAAACAAGCUGUCACCGUCAAUUGCAUAGGUGCUAUGUAUGUCCUCAGAUUAUAUAAAUUAGUUUUUAAUUCAGGUUUAAAUUUUAUGUAGAAAAGGCACAGAGCAGCCUAGAGAAAGAACAAUAGCCUCAGCUUGAUUAGUUCAGCCAUAUAGCAGACAAUGCAGCAUUCUUUAGCCUCUUUCUCAAACUUCUUUUCAGUGUUUAAAAAGUCCUUGGUGUGUCACUUCCCAAGCCUUCUUUAUUUGACUCAUCCAUACCAGGUCUUUGCAAACCUCUCCUUGCUGAAGUUCCCAUUACAAAUGUCCUUCUUGCCUUGGACUUGUGUUCUGCCAACAAUGACAGAGGAGACUUGAUCUCAAUCUCUCUCUGGAGUCCCUUUAGCAAGUUGCUAAUACUGAACUCUGCAUUAUGUAUAAUCCCAGUUUUUUCCAGGCACUUUAGUCAGAGCUAUUUCCUUUGCAUUAUUAAUGUCUAUAGUCAUACUAGAAAACUUAACUUGAAAGACAUUCACCUAAUGAACAGAAAAGGGGAGCAGGGAAAGGAGCCCCCAGAAGGAUAAAUGGGGGAUUUCUUGUAUUGCAGUACUAUUCAUAUGCAAUACUAAAUACACAGAAAUUCUGUAAGAGCUGCAGCUGAAAUAAUUCUCAAUUCAUGAACCUCUUUCAUUUUAGUACUUAAUUGCAGAGUUUACCUUUCCCCCUAAAUAGUGGUAAUUUGUUGCUGACCAGUUGUAGUAAGGAUCAGGACCUUGGCCUGUGGGUGUCUGCCUACAUGCUGCCACUUUCUCUGGAAAACAUGAAGGACCAUCAUAACCUGGCAUGCAUUGCAGUUGUAGCUGUUAACAAGAGUUUCCAAGCAGAACCCAGCUGCACUUUGUCAAGGACCACAGUAACUAGCAAAGAGUGGUUUCCAUUUCUUCCAUGCACUGAAGUGUCUAUUCCUGCAUGUCCCCUCUUUUAUACUCCUGCCCUCAUUGAGUUAACACAUCACUCUGGUCUAACCAAAGUUACAAAGAGACCUGCCAAUGUAAGUUCAUAAAUCAUUUAAGACCGAGCCACUAGCAAUCUGGCCCCCAAAUCUCAGCAAUUCAGAGGUACCUUUGCAACCUGAUUUUGUGCAUGCUUACUCAGAUGCAAGUCCCACUGAGUUAAAUGUGACUUACGCUGAAGUAAGUGUGCCAUAAAGAGCUAACAGAAUUUGCAUUAAGCCAGCCAGAGGUAGGACGACGUGCACAGCCUGGUCGGUUUCUCUGUCCUCUGUCCAGUCAGGAUCAGCCUUGUCUUCAUGUUUUGGUGCUCUCUCUCUCUCUCUCCCUCCUCCUUUCCCACGCUGUUCCUCUUCCUCCUUGCUGGGUUUUCUUGAAACUGCAAUUUUCUCGCUGAGCACCCAACCCCUCAAACACCCUGUUGUAUUGGGGCUAUUUUGCACAGUGAUGUACAAAAUGCCAGGCCUCGUGUCGGCUUUGGCACAAAAGUUCCUCAUUUGCCUUUUUUCUUUGGUUGUUUUGCUCUUGUAGGAUAAGAAUAUACUGUAAAUAACCUGUAACUGAAUGGCCUGAAUGAAUCUGGGGGACCAGCCAUGGGGGCUGGGCCCUGUGUCUGUGAAGCGUCAUGCUGGAGUUUUUUUUUCUUUUUUGUACUACGUGUGAGUAACUGUGCUGUGCUGACUCAUUUCUGAUUGUAUGAUGUACACCUCCCAGCAGUUGCAAUGGGCCAGUAGGACAGGGUGGGAACAAAAUGCCUUCUAAUAAUAGGAGUUGGCCUCCCUCAUCUCUCUUGCUGCUCGCUCUGCAUUUGCUCAAUACUUUUCACAAAGUUGCAGAGUCCAAUCAAGUAAGGCUGUCACAAUAAGAUUAGACAGCUCAGUGUUUUCUUCUUAGCCACUCUCUCUCUUUGUACUGGUGCUAUCGUAACAGUGUUUGCAGAGCAGAAGAGCACUGCCAAUCAGUUAUAGUUGAGCAGGGUGAAGUGGUAGGUCUUGAUCCCUAUAAGCAGGCUAGGAUAUUGAGUGGGAGGUCCUGCUGGAAUCAGGUUAAUUCACAAUGAAUUGGGGAUGGACACUAAAUAUCCAGGACUUUCCCACCCCCAUUUAGUUCUUGCUUUCUGCUUUUGUAUGUUUUGGCUUAUGCUCUGUGAAACCUUCAGAGACUGGGUGGUUUAGUUUAUCACAUUGAAUUGUUAAUAACACUAAGUACAUUGCAGGAUGUUGUUAGGUAGAGGAUAGGAACGCCACAACUUUGCACAUUUUAAGUAUAUGACGAUUUGAAAUAACCCUGUUGAGUUUGAACUUUUGUUUAAAAUGAAAAAAAUAACUUUGUACAUGCUUCAGAUGGCUAAAACAUGACCAGUCAUUGCUCCUAGUAGGGCAAGGCAGCCAUCUUAAAUUCACCUCUUAUCUGUCUCCUACCCUGCCUAUGAGCCAAAUCAUUAAUUAAACCUACACUUUUAUGUAUUGAGUUCAACCCAUUAUUAUAUUUUUCUUCCCAGAGGUAUCAGAUGUGUUACAGUGCAACUUGAUGCAUAUUUACUCAGAAGUAACUGCUGCUGCAUUUGGGCAUGGGAGAAGAGCUUGAGUCCCAGAAAGUACGUUUAGGAUUAAGGAUAAUCUUAUGAGCAGUUCCACAUGAGGCUGUAUCCUGGAAAAAUUUCCAAAUUAGGCAAAUUGUGACCUGGUCACAAUUCCUAAGACCAGUCUGUCAUUCCAAAAUGAAGUCAAAAACAUAAAUUUUUUGAACCAGAUCAUUUCUAUCCAAAAAGAGGUUUUAAGCCAGUUGUUUUGGAAGCAUUUUUGUAGCCAGAAAUCUUUGUUUCUCUUCAUGCUGAAAUGUCUUUUUGAUGGUUCUAGGCAAAAUGCACAUGACUCUGCAACACAUAUUCCAUUCACACAGCUCACAAAGUAUCUCCAAGCUUUGAGCAUCUCAUGACUUCCACCAUGAUGAACGCUGCUCUGUAAUGUGGAAGGCAGAAGGGUGGGCUUUCACUGGGGUAAAUAGGACCUUAUUUCCAUUAUUGCUAUUACAAAUGCAGACAGGCCCAUUGGUUGCAAGUCCCAGAGAGCAGAUUUUAAAAAUUUAUUAAAGUGCCUGCUUUUUUGAAAAGAUGCAGUUUUAGAAUAUUAACAGGCUGCCCCAAAAAUAUUGUUCAUCUUUAAGGUGCCACAAGCUUCUCUCCCCCGCCCCCCCAAAAAACAGACAAACAAGGCUACCCUUCUGGAAAUAGUUACAAAAACAUUGUAAACAAUAUUGUCAACCAAAAUCCUGCCAGAAAAGGUGUGUCUUACACUCUGUCAGAAACCUUUUCUUUCAGGAAUGAAAUUCAAAGAAUAAGAGGAGGGGAAACUGCUGUGAAGGCCUGACUUGUGACUCAUCGUCCAAAUCUCAUGCAGAGGUGGCCCAGACAGUAAUGUCUGCUGCAUAGAAAUCAGCACCCGCCCGGCUUAAACAGAGCGAGAGACUGCAUUCACAUUUAACUUUUAAAACCAGCACCUUGAAUUGGGUCUGGAAGCAAAUUGGCAAGCAGUGCAGCCUCCCAACACCCAUUAGGAGAUCUGCCACAGGAAUCCGCACCAAUUGAAGCUUCUGCGUCAUCUUCAAGGGCAACCCAACAUAGAGCGGCAUUGCUGUAAUAAACCAAGUUGCAGAAGCAUGGAUCAGCGCGGCAAGGUGUGACAUGUCCAGAAAAUGAAAAUGUUUAUUCUGAGCCAAAGAUGGGGGGGGGGGGAUAACUCUGACCUGCUUCUCAAGAAGCGGUUCUGGCUUCAGGAGUACCCUCCAGGCUUUUACCUGCUCAGAUAGGGUUAUAGAGAUCCUACAGCCAUUUUCCCUUCCCUGUCCACCUUGCCUCUGGCUUGUCAAUUGUAACCUGUUAUCCACUAUUCCCUUUACUGCACUUUCCAAACUCAAAAGUGUAGUGUUUGAGCAACAACAAGCCCAUAAAGGAGGGGGCCUUAUAAGACUCCUCUCUGCAAGUUUAUUAUGUGAUCUUUGUGAUCAUUGGCUUAUGGCUAAGGCUGCAACGGGUGCACAUACAUCACUUUCAGUUAGUGGAAUUUACUUCUGAGUAAAUGUCAUUGCAGUGCAAGUAUGUUUGUAGUAGAAAACACAAUAUGGCACAAACAGAACUCAAACAUUUAAGUGGAUAUCCAAAAUGGAGAGGAGAAUGGAACCAGGGAGGAGGUAGUGGUGGUGGUUAUAGGGAGAAAGAAUCAGCAUCAGCCUAUCAACUUAUCUCUGGUAAGUGUAUUAACAUGGUGGCAUAGGCCUUAGAUUCGUUCCUUAGUUGAGUGAGCUGGCCAACCAACAUACAAAAAAACAUGUGCCCUCUAAACACUACUUGCCCCACAAAAUGAAAACAAGCUGAGGAAUGAUUUUAUUCUGAUUAGAAAUUAUAACUGAGAGUGCUUCCAGCUGGGGAUUUGGCAUUGUGACCAAGUCAUACAUACAUUCCAAAUGGGUUGCUCACAACAGGUUAUUAUAACUUACUAGAUUUCCACUGGGAAGGGUAAAUCUGGAUUAAAGGGUGUGUGUGAAAUAAGGACAGAAAUAUAGAGGCUAGUGAGUCAUGGAUGCUGCAGAAAAUACCCAUGCAUGAGGAGCACCCAUCCCACAAUAAUCACCCAUCUGGAAGAACCCUGAAGCUAGCACUGUAAAUGACUGAAGGCAAGAACAAUUCCUUGGUAAAUCUGAAAAGAUUAAAAGGAAGCGUGCAGGAGCUGGAGCCCGUGGCUGUUGCCAAAAACCAGGGGUUGUCUCUAAUGGAUUUCAGCUGGUCAUAAACAUACGAAGUUGCCUUGGUCCAUCUGCCCUAGUGCAGUUUACUCUGACUGUCAGCAGAUUUCCAGGUUUCGCAUGGAGAUCUUUCUCUGUGCCCAGAAUGGAAGCUGACAUUCUGCUACCUGAGCUGUGGCACUUGUUCUCUGCUACAGGACCUUGUGGUUUCAAAUGCAAAGAAACCCAGCUUCCCGCAUUCUACCCGCCCCCCUUUGCAGUCUAGCAUCCAGAUAGAAGCAAGUCUUUUACUGGGCAAAAGCAGAGGAGACCCAGCAGCAGCUCUGAGAGUAAAUUGCACAAAGAACAAUGGGAUGGAUACCAAAAACCAAGGGUUGGAGUGGAUGUCCUGCAUGCUACUCAGCAGCAAAUGAAGAGGGAGAGGGAAGAGGCCAGACUUAAUGCUAUUCCAGCUUCAACCUUAUGUUGCAAAAAACGAAAUAAAAAUGGGGAAAUUGGGAAUUUCAUCCAUCUGAUCAUGAAACUCCAAAGGGCAAAGCUGGGUGGUCCCUAGUGGCUCCUUCCCAGGGGCGUUGGUGCUAAGAAGCUGGGGGUUUCAGUCCCAUGGAAAGCUAGAAGGAGGUUGCUGGAACACUGAUAAUUGCACUAAUUCAUCAAUCCAUCGGCAAACGUAGCAUCCCUUCCCCAUCGUCCCUGCCAAAGACGUGUCACCCUUCUGCUUUUGCCAAGUCUCGAAGGUCUUGGCUCGGGGUGAAGCUGGGAUAGCACCAAAGUCUAGGGUCUCCUUGGCUCAUAAGCUACUGCUGACUGGUGGCCCAAACCUUACAAUUUUAGCUUUUUUCUAAUUAAAAAUGCAUUUUUUAAAAAAAUUAAAAAGUGAAAGAAUUCCUGUUUUAGAAGAGCUGUGUACUUGACGGAUUCUGUGUUUCUUAAAUGCAUGGUGUUCCUUCCAGGGGGUUUUAUAGCACUUUUUAAAUUUCUCGGAAGAUUUUUUGGUCCCAGUUUCUAUGCUACCUUCUUUCUCUUUCUCUUUCUGUCUCUCGCCUUUUGUUUUGGUCUCUUUCUUUUGCGGAAACAGUUCUUUGUAAACCUGCAAUCUGUUUUAUACCUGAUGUAGACAAAAUUGAAAUCAAAAAUUCCAGAUGUUGUACAUAGCUGCGGAAACAAUCACGGGGAACAACUGCCAUCUGGACUGUUUCCAACAUAGACCAUUUGUACUUGUGGUUUUAAAAAAAGAAAAGAAGCCAGGAAAAGGCUUUAAAAGCAAAAUAAAAAUUAAAAAUAAAUUUAUUAAAAAUCAUCAACAAAGUAAAGUAACAGCCCUCUUCACCAACUCAUCUGUCUCUACUAAGCUGCUCAUUCCAUGCAGCAUGUUCCUUCUGGGUCUGUCAGUCUGUCAUAACACCAUUUGAAGUUUAAAUAAAGUGAUCUCCUGUGUUGCCUGAAUGUUGAUCCUCUCUGUUUGGAAGAAUGCUGACAAGAACCAGAGUCCUCUCCCUUUGAUCAACACGAUGGAAUCAAGUGGCACAAGGGAUCUCGGGGUGCUGCCCACCUGGGCUUGUACCAUUUCAAAAUGGGGGGGGCGGGGGGCGGUAUAUGCAUAAUGGCUCCCUACCAUCAGAAGCUACAUGCACAUAGGUAAGUAGCACAGCCAGGAGAAGAUAAGACUAGAAACUGAGACACUAGUUUUCCAUGGAGAUUUAUGGAAAGCAUUCAGCACCAUAGUUUCCCAUCUUGUAUUUGGAAGUGGUACAAUUCAAG